AAAAAAAAUAUAUAUAUAUAUAUAUAUAUAUAUAUAUAUAUAUAUAUAUAUAUAUAUAUAUAUAUAUAUAUAUAUAUAUAUAAAACGUUAUAACUUUUUCUAAAUCUGCCUCAAAACUACUCCAAUCGGUAGUCAGUACACGGCCAAACAAACUAACCUCGGCUCUGGCUCCCGGUUUCCGAUUCCGGAAGCACCGAAAAUAGUGGUCAAAUUUGACAAAAAAAUCUCUUUACUUUGCUCCGAGAUGGCGUGACCGAUUUUCACAAACUUAGAUUCAAACGAAAAGGUCUUUUGGUUCGAUACAGAAUUACCGAAUAUUAUUUGUAUCCGACUCCCGGUUCCGGAAUUAUGGGGUGAAAUGUGCAAAAAAUGUGAAAAUAAGUGCAUCGACAUUUCUCAAAGAUGGCUAAACCAAUUUUCACAAACUUAAAUUCAAAUGGAAGCUCAUAUGGUUUCAUUCAAAAUUGAUGAAUUUUGUUUGGUUCUGACUUCCGGUUCCGGAGUUAUAGAGUAAAAUAUUUAAAAAAAACUGGAAACAAGUGUACUAACUUUUUUCAGAGAUGGCGUGACCGAUUUUUACAAACUCAGAUUCAAAGGAAUGGUUUUAUGGCCCUCUACAAAGCUUCUUAAUUUCUACAGGAUCCGACUGCCGGUUCCUGUAUUAUAGGGGAAAGUGUGUUAAAAUGUUGUUACAAAAACGUAAAAAAAUUAAAUUGGCCUUAAAAAAAUUAAGUCGGUAGUCAUUAUCAGUACAUGGUCAAGCAAACUGAUCUCGGCUAUCCUGGAUCCUGAUUUUCCGAUUCCGAAGAUAUCGGAAACAGUGGUCAUAUUUUUCCACUCACUUUUUUUCAAAAUAGGCGGAAAGAUUUUUACAAACUCAGAUUCAAAUGAAUGAUCCUUUGGUCCCGUAAGGAAUUUCUGAAUUUUAGGCCAUCGUCCAAGUACCAUGCGCGCGGGUGGUUUUAGGAAAUUUUCGAUGGAAAUUUUGAAAAAUUUGACAAAACCAAAAACAUACAGACCUUUGAAAUACUUUUAUCUAUCUACAGGGUGAAAAUGGCUGGAACAUUCGGAGGAUUUACCGAGUCUUAUCAAAAACAGCUCUGAAAAAUGAGUGUUUUUGUGAUCUUUCACAAUUAUCUGGAAAAAUAAUUCGAUGACAUAAUUUUUUUUUUCAAAUGAACCUUAUGAUGGAUACAAAGAUUACAUUCGGACACAUUUUUAGAAAACCUUUUCACGCUUUUCACAGAAAAUCCACAAAUUUCAAAAAUUUCCACGAAAUCGGUUACACAGAAAGAAAAGAUGAAACUUACACGACAUGUAAACCGAUAGUACUAUGAAAUAGACAUCAAUUGAAACGAAAAUCUGAUUUAAAACCAUGAUUGAUGUAAAAUUACAUUAAAAAUCAUUUAGUUUUUCAUUGAACAAGACUAUAUUUACAAACAACUUCGUUUUGUAAUGUAAAUUUCCAUUCAAUUGCCUGCUCCAAAUAUCUGCAUGAAAAUAAAUGUAAAAUCACAAAAUAUUUUUAGCUGUGUAUAUGAAAUUCGUUGAUUUUCCAUGAAAAGCGUGAAAGGUUUUCCAAAAAGUGUCCGAAUGUGAUCCUUGUUGCCCGCAUAAGGUUUUUAAAAAAAAAAAAUUUUCAUAUUAUAUUUUUUCAUAUAAUUGUGAAAAAUUUCACCAUUUUCACCCUGUAGAUAGAUAAAAGUAUUUCAAAGGUCUGUAUGUUUUUGGUUUUGUCAAAUUUUUCAAAAUUUCCAUCGAAAAUUUCCUAAAACCACCCGCGCGCAUAGUACUUCGACGAUGGCCUUCAACCGGACCCGACUUCCGGUUCCGAAAUUACAGGGUGUUAUUGUAAAAAUUCCAAUUUCAAAUUUUUUAUUCACUUUUUUCAGCGAUGGUUUGAUCGAUUUUUACAAACUUUGAUUCAAAUCAAAGGUCAUGUGACCCCAUGCAAAACUUCUUAAUUUCAUCUGGAUCCGACUUCCGGUUCAGGAAUUUUAGGGUAAAGUGUGUUACAAUCACCUAAAGGGACGACACAUAAAACGUGAAAAAUGUUCUACACUGGCCUCAAAACUACAUUCGAUAGUCAUUAUCAGUACACGGCCAAGCAAACUGAGCUCGGCUGUCUUGGUUACCGGUUUCCGAUUCCGGAAGCACCGGAAAUAGUGGUUAUAUUUUCCCAAAUGGAUCUUACUCACUUUUCCUAGAGACGGCGAAAAGAUAUUUACAAACUUCAAUUCAAAUAAACCUUUUUAUGGUCCUUCACAAAACUUCUGAAUUUCAUCCGGAACUGACUUCCGGUUCCGGAAUGUUAGAGUAAAAUGUGUUAAAUUUUUACAAUCACUUAAGAGGGACGAAACAAAAAACGUAAAAACUUAUUCUAAAUCGGCCUCAAAACUACUUCAAUGGGUAGUCAUUAUCAGUAGACGGCUAAACAAUCCGAUUUCGAUUAUUCUUUCAAGAAACGAAGAAAAUUAUUGUGAAUAAUACCACAGUAUUAUAUAUUAUUAAAACAGGCUUUUUUUUCUUUUCUUAAGAAUGACCCUGUAAUUUCGAGAAUGACCCUGUAAUUUCGUCCUCGCGCUUGACGAACCAUGACAAGUGGAGUAGAACACUCACCGUGUAAAAAGAACCGAAUAAUCUGUCGAUGGGUGGCUGGCAGUUGAGAAACGUCAAAAGCAACAAAAAAACACCAUCCAUACAUGUGAAGUACGACUAUCGAGAGACCCGAUCCGAUGUGUAGGUGUACGUACUGUUUGGUGCCGAAUAGAAAUGCAUAUGCAGUUCCGUGUGCUCUAGUGCCGCGUUGCAACCUUGUACAGAAUCCCACUUGCAGUGUGCAGUUUGGGUUCGUUCUCUCUCUCUCUGUCGCUGUUUCUCUUUCUCGUGUGUGAGUGCAUGUGCGCGCGUGGGGUUUUAGCUCGUUGAAUUACAAAAAUAAAGUGCAAGAAUUUUGAGGUUACAUGCACCGUGUGGACGACGGCGGCGGCGGUUUUUGACAGUUGCAUAACCAACCGCGGUCGCGGCCUCCUACGCGGUUCCUAGCGAAAAGAACACCACUGAAAAUUUUCUCACUUUUUCGUUGUUGGUGCAAAUUUGUAAUGCUGGCAGUAAGUAGCGCGAUAGUGGUGACAUUUCGCGAACUAGAACGUCUCUGCCCAGACUCGUUUGGUAUUAGAAAUCGAAACUAGGUCGUACUUGAGUUACUGUGCACGAUGGGCGUAAGCUUGCUUGAGACACUGGGUGAAAAGUCACCUUGAAUCGUCUCAGACACUGCGCUUUGCAGUUGCAGCCGGCAGGCAGGCAGGCAGGCGACCAGAGGCCGAGGUGAAUUCAAGGAGUCUUCGUUUUUUUUUCUUUUUUCGCAGUACCUUGUAACAACGGUACUUGCGGUGACGGUGACGAUGGAAAACCCGUUGCCGCCAGCCGGUCUGGCACGAUUCCAGUGCACGGCCUACUGACGGUGAGCUAAUGUCAAAAGUGACAGCAUUUUGCUGCGUGCAUCAGCGAAUCGACCGACCAUCGGCGCCAAUCGAGCAGCAAAAGGUUGUUCGAAGCUGAUAAGAUAACGCGUGUUGUGCCUUUUUGGUACCUGCCGGGGUCCGCGCCCAAAGCCUAAACGGUCCAGCGAACUGGAACACGAGAAACUGGACACGAUCCGUUCGUUUUACCUUCGCUUUUGAAGUGCUUCAACGGGAGAUAGUGAAACGGUAUUGUUCGGCCGGCGAUUCCGUGGCGUGCCGGCGCAGUGGACCACAAAAGAGAGCUAGACAAUGAACAGCAGAAUAUAUGUGCGUGUGUGUAAAGCUAUUAGCAACCGUUAUCAGUUCGUUAGUCAAUCUUCCCCCGUGCUCCCCAGGGCACCCCACACGCCCCUACUCUAGCCUUGUCGGCCGUAGCUUAUCGCGAUUGUUUGCUCAAUCGAGCGCUAAUUACGACAUCGACUGGCCAUCAAUUCGGGAUUACCAAUAGUCCCUCAUAGGACUUCGGAAGCAAAUUUCAAAUUUCGAUUGGCUGCGAUGCGGGAAACCAAGUUCUGGUCCGUGUCAGAAUCAGAAUGUGUUGACAAACACUUUUCAAAACGGCCGGCGGCAAACUGGUAUUAAUUAUCACUUCUGAGAAAGCGUUACAUUUUGUUUUUUUUUUCGUUUCUCAUCAGUUAGUUUCACUUCCCAUAUAUGAAAUUCAGCCCAUACCGAAUGUAUGAAAGUUGCACAUCGCCAUCCUCCCAUCAUCUUCAUCAUCUACGGCGAAAGAGAGAUGAUGAUGAUGGAGUGGAUGCGAAUCGAAUCAGAUCGCAUUUAUCGAGGUCAGGUGAAAAAGUAAAACUGUCAGCCAGUAGCCAGGCUGGCAGAUUUUUUGACACAUACCACAACUGACUCGUAACUUUACAAUCCAAGCAGGCUGAGGUGAGCUACGGGAGAAAACAGUACCGUUUUGCAACACGCGUCGUUUUUUUUCGUGGUCUUCGACUGCACCUGCAUUAAAGGCUUAGGCAUGUAACAAUGCAUUGUUACAUUGUUGAGAGAGCUACCGGGGUUUUUUAGGCUCAACUCAGUGUUGUUUAGUUUGCAUUACUAAUUAGUCUACACUAAUUGUGGUCGAGUCGAAAAAGCACACGCCAUUAAAAGCGUGGGAGGUGAUGUGGAUCCCAUUUGGAAUUGUAAGUUGUGGAGUGGAGAACGCAAUGCCUGAUUUGCCACAUUCUUAAUGAGCUUAAUGAAGUUUUCCAUUAUUUUUUGUUUUGGCAACACUUGACACAGUUGGUUUUGAAAGCUGUUUUCUAUCACACGAAUCACUAAAUUGUGAAACGGACAGUAUGAUGAGAGCAGAAAAGUCAUUAUUAAGGACUUGAAGAGUCCAAAACAACCGAAUUAAAAGAAAAAAACGGAUCUAAAGUUAGCUGAACAUCGUUUGUUACCAUGGUGUUAUGUGCGGUUCGGAAAUUUCAAAGUACGAUGGGAAAGCUAAAUUCGUCUUGCUUUGAAAUUCCGUCAAUUUCUGAUUUAUCGUUCAGUAUUUGACGUAUCAUUUCAACGUUUGUGUAUUUUUUUUACGAUUUCUACCCAUUUCUGCUGAAAUGCCGGAAUUUUACCUAAUUUUUAUUCCAAUAAGUAAAACAAAAUUAUGAACAGAUGGUGACUGUACAGUAAAUUGUAAAGAGAAACGGGCCUCCAAAAUUAUGAUUAAGGCUUCAUCAAUUAUUCGCUGUGUUCGUGUUUUUGCGCGGAUAUCCGAGGUUACGCAGUUUUUUUUUACGCGGAUUUCCGAAGUUACGUGGUCUCAAUUCGAAGUCCCGAAGUCAUUUUUUCCCAAAAAUUUUUUGUUUAAUCUCAAACUCUAUAUCUCAACGUUUCAUGCAUUUUUAAGACAUUUGGCACAAAAAAAAUCGAUUUCGAAAAUCUGAAAAACCUAAAGUUUCAAAGUCGAUUACUCCAAAAAAAUUUUUUUUUGGAUUUCACAUUUCAUGCAUUUCUAAGGCAUUUGGCAGCAACAUUUUUUUUUUCAAUUUCGCGGUUUUUUUUUCUACGCGAAUUUCCGAAGUUGCGUGGUUUUCUUACGCGAAUUUUCAAAGUUAUCCAAUUUUUUUGUCUUAGAAACGAAGAUAUUCUUAUAUUUUUUUAGGUCAGGUUAGGUUUUUAGGAGUCAGACUAGAAAAUUUUCGAUUUAAAAAAAAAUUUUUUUUCAGCUUGCACCAGAUCCCGACGUUUCAUGCAUUUCUAAGACAUUUGGCAUAAAAAAGUUUUUUUUUCAAUUUUGCGGUUUUGUUCUACACGGAUUUCCGAAGUUAUCCGAUUUUUCUUGUCUUAGAAAUGAUGAUAUUCUGACAUUUUUUAGGUCAGGUUAGGUUUUUAGGUGUCAGACUAGAAAAUGUUCCAGCUUUUUUUAGCUUGCACCAAAUUUUGACGUUUCAUGCAUUUCUAAGACAUUUGGCAUCAACAAAAUUUUUCUUCAAUUUUUCGGUUAUUUUCUACACGGAUUGGUCUCAAAUUCAAAGUCCUGAAGUCAUUUUUCCCAAAAAAAAAUUUUUCUAGAUUUCACUAUAUCUUAACGUUUCAUGCUUUUCUAAGAAAUUUGGCGUAAAAAGUUCGUUUCGGAAAUCAGAAAAUCUCUAAGUUUCAAAGUCGAUUUCCUCAAAAAAAAAAUUUCUGGACUACACCAAAUCUGGACAUUUCAUACAUUUCUUAAAAGAAAUUUUCUUUAUUUUUUCGGUUUUUUUACGCGGAUUUCUGGAGUUAUGCGGAUUUUUUUUGUCCCCCCGCGUAAAAAGAGAUCUCGGUGUAAAGCUAAAAAUUAUUAUUAGCCUAUUUCUGGUAGAUGGCGCUUCGCUUACAUCUUCUUAGAUCGCAGUUCACGCAAAUUUACGUGGAAGAACAUUCAAUAUUGUGUCUAAAAAUUCCAUGCUACAAAAGAAAUUCAUUGAAAUAAAAAAAAAAUGAAUCUUGAUGGCGACCGCCGCGACUUGAACCGAGAAUCAUUGGAUCACAAAGUACGUCUGUUAAUCGACUGAACCACAGAAGCAUAUAUCUACUGCGGUGGUAAAAGGUGCAUUUAAAUGCAUACAGUAAGGCACCUGGUAACAGAAUGCAAGUUACAGUCGAAACCAGUAAAAUUCAUACUGAUCUAACAUUAAGUCAUCACAAAUGAAAUUUUCCGUCAUUUGACAAAUUAGAAUUACAUCGUAUGAGACUCAUCAGUGCAGCUUCAGUUGCUGAAACAUCAUUAAGGCCAUCUUACGGCUCAAAACUGCUAAUGCCCCCUUAAAAUUACGUAACUAAUUAGCAACUAAAGCUGAGGUGAAAUAAAUGAUAUAAUAAAAUAAUAAAUAAUUCGCAACAAAUUAUUCACCUAUUUGUGUUAUCAUCGGCAAGAGUUGCCUCGCUAGGUUCAUGUUUAUGAAAAAAAAUGAAUCAGCAACAAAUUGAAAACUUUCGCAGCUAAUUAGCAACUUUUAAGAAAUAAAUUAUUCGCAGAGUUUUGAUUUGUUUUCAACCUUUUUUAAGAAGGGUAUUUCUUAAACUGCACCUGAACUUAGCGAAGCGCUCACAAAAAUACAAAGUAUAUAGAAAACAAUUCGAUACUUUCGUAACUUAUAAGAAACAAAUUAUGCAUUGCAUUGCAACAAAUUCAAAACCUUUGCAAUUGAUUAAUAACUUGUUAGAAACAAAUUGUUUGCAGAGCUUUGAUUUGUUUUCAAGCCUUAUUUAUGAACUUUGCGAAGCAGCCGUAAAAAAAAGAAAAUAAUGAGCAAGAAAAUUUGAAACUAUCGUAACUUAUUAUAAACAUUACGCACUGGGUUCCGAUUUGUUUUCAAGCUUAUUUAAAUUUUUGCUUUAUUAGCUUCACAUGGACAUAAAACACUCGAAAAUUAAGAAAAACUGAAUGAGCAACAAAAAACUUUGCAACUUGUUAGAAAAAAAAUAUUCACUAGGUUUGUUUUUUGAAUUUUGCAAUAAAUUUGAAACUUUCACAAUUAAUUGAUGGCAACCAAUCAAAAAUAAAAUAUUCACCUGAGUUGGUUCAAUUUUUCAAGCUUAUUUUGUAGGGAUUCUUCGAAAACUUUACAUUAACCUAGUGAAGCACUUGUGAAAAAAAUUAAUGAGCAACAAAUUCGAAACUUUCAUAACUAAUUUGAAACAAAAUAUUCACUAGGAGUUGAUUUGUUUUCAAGCUUAUUUAGCAGUUGUGCUUCGUUAACUUCAUAUGAACUUAGCGAAGCGCUCGUAAAAAUAAAAAUAAUUGAAAGCCAGAUUUGAAACUUUCGUAACUUAUUAGAAACAAAUUAUGCAUUGGGUGUUUCAAGCUUAUUCAAGAGUUGUGCUUCGUGAGUUGCAUAUGAACUUAGAAUCACUCGUAAAAAAAUUAAGCAACAAACUCAAAACUUUGCAACUAAUUAGCAACUUAUUAGAAACAAAUUAUUUGCUGGGUUUUUAUUCGUAUUCUACCAUUUUUGAGUAGGGUGGUUCAUUAGUUUCAUAUGAAGUAAGUGAAACACUCGAUAAAAUGAAUAAAGAAAAUGAACAACAAAUUCAUAUCAUUCGCAGCUAAUAAUCAACUUGUUAGAGAAAUAAAUUAUUCACAGAGUUUUGAUUUCUUUUUAAGCCCUAUUUGGGAGCGGUACUUCGCAAACUUCAAAUGAACUUACCGAAGCACACGUCAAAAUAAAAAUAAGUGAGCAAAAAAUUCAAAACCUUCGCAACUUAUUAGCAACUUGUUCGAAAUAAAUUAUUCGCCGGGUUUCGAUUUGUUUUCAAUACGUAUUUCGGAGGAGGUCUUUCUCAAAGUUCAUAUGAAUUUAGCGAAGCACUCGUAAAAGAAAUUAACAAAAUCAAAACUCUCGUAACUGAUUAGAAACAAGUUAUGCAAUGGUCGUUGAUUUGUUUUCAAGCUUAUUUGAGAGUUGUGCUCCAUUAGCUUCAUAUGACUUCAGUGAAACACUCGUAAACAUGAAAAAUGAAUGAGCAAUAAAUUCAAAACUUUCGCAACUAAUUAGCCACUUGUAAAAAAUAAAUUAUUCGCAGAGUUUUGAUCUGUUUUCAACUUUUAUUUAGGAAGGGUGCUUCGCAAAUUGCAUAUGAAUUUAUCGAAGCACUCGUGAAAAUUAGAAAAAAACCAAUGAGCAACAAUUUCGAAACAAUCGUAACCAAUUCGCAACAAAUUAUGCACUGGGUCUUGAUUUGUUUUAAAGCUUAUUUAAAAGUUGUGCUUCAUUAGUUUUAUAUGAACUAAGCGAAACAUUCGAUAAAAUGAAUAAAGAAAAUGAACAACAAAUUCAUAUCAUUCGCAACUAAUCAGCAACUUGUUAGAGAAAUAAAUUAUUCACACAGUUUUGAUUUCUUUUUAAGCCCUAUUUAGAAGCGGUGCUUCGCAAACUUCAUAUGAACUUAGCGAAGCACACGUCAAAAUAAAAAUGCGUGAGCAACAGAUUCAAAACAUUCGCAACCUAUUAGCAACUUGUUAGAAAUAAAUUAUUCGCAGGGUUUUGAUAUAUUCUCAACUUCUAUUUAAGAGGGAUGCUUCGCAUGGUUUGUAUGAAUUUGACGGAGCACUCGCAAAAAUUAAAAAAAGAAUAAAGAGCACAAAUUCGGAAAAAUUGCAACUAAUAAGCAACAAAUUAUGUACUGAGUGUUGAUUUGUUUACAAGCUUAUUUAAAAGUGGUGCUUCAUUAGUUUCAUAUGAACUUAGCGAAGCACUAGUGAAAAAAAUUAUGGGCAACAAAUUCAAAACCUUCGCAACUUGUUAGAAAAUCAAAUUGUUCGCAGAGUUUCGAUUUGUCUUCAAGCCUUAUUUAGGAGGGGUGCUUCGAAAACUUCACAUCAAGUUUGCGAAGUACUCGUAAAAAUAAAAAAAUAAUGAGUAACAAAUUCAAAACUUUCGUAACUUAUUAGAAACAAGCUUAUUUAACUUAUUAGCAACCAAUUAAAAACAAAAUAUCCACAGAGUUUUAAUUUUUUUUUCGAGCUCUAUUUAGGAGUGGUGCUUCGCAAACUUCGAAGCACACGGAAAAAUAAAAAUGAAUGAGCAAUAAAUUCAAAACCUUCGCAACUUAUUAGCAACUUGUUAGAAAUAAAUUAUUCGCAGGGUUUUGAUUUAUUUUCAAAUUACGCAGUGGGUUUCGAUUUGUUUUCAAGCUUAUUCAAGAGUUGUGUUUCACUAAUUCCAUAUGAAUUCAGCUAAGCACUCGUAAAAACGAAAAAUAAAUGAGUAAUAAAUUCGAAACCUCGACAACUUAUUAGCAACCAAUUAGAAACAAAAUAUUCACAGAGUUUUAAUUUUCUUUUCGAGCCCUAUUUAGGAGUGGUGCUUCGCAAACUUCGAAGCACACGGAAAAAUAAAAAUGAAUGAGCAACAAAUUCAAAACUUUCGCAACUAAUUAGCAACCAAUUAAAAAAAAAUAAUCACUGGGUUUCAAAUUGCUUUCAAGCUAUUUUGAGGUAUGUGAUUCGUAGACUUCGCAUGAACUUAGCGAAGCGCUCGUAAAAAAUGAAUGAGCAUCAAAUUCAAAACCUUUGCAACUAAUUAGCAACUUGUUAGAAAUAAAUUAUUUCCUUGGUUUUUAUCGGUUUUCCACUUUUUUGAGAGGGGUGUUUCGAAAACUUCACACGAACUUAGCAAAGCUAAAAAUAUAAAGAAUUGAACAAACAAUUUCGAAACAAUCGUAACUAAUUAGCUUACAAAUUAUGCACUGGGCGUUGAUUUGUUUUCAAGCUUAUGUAAUCGUUGUGCUUCAUUAGUUUCAUAUGAACUUAGCGAAGAACUCGUAAAAAUAAAAAAGUAAUGAGUAACAAAUUCAAAACCUUCGCAACUUAUUAGCAACUUGUAAGAAAUAAAUUAUUCAAAGAGUUUUGUUUCAACUUUUAUUUAGAAGGGGUGCUUUCAUAUGAAUUUAACGAAGCACUCGCAAAAAUUAGAAAAAAAAAUUAAUGAGUAACAAUCUCGAAACAAUUGCAACUAAUUAACAACAAAUGAUGCAUUUGGUGUUGUUUUGUUUCCAAUCUUAUUUAGAAGUUGAACUUCACAUGAACUUAACGAAGCACUCGUAAAAAAAUGAGGACCAUGAACUCAACGAGACAGUUUUCGCCGAUGGGUACACAAAUAGAUCAAUAAUUUGUUGGUAAUUAGUUACGGCAUUUUGAAAGCGUUGCUCACUUGUUCUUGAGUACUCCUCCAGGUUGAUAUGAAGUUAACGAAGCACCCCUUCCACAAAAGCUUGAAAACGAAUCGAAACCCACUGGGUAGUUUGUUGCUAAUAAGUUACUAAUUAGUUACGGUAAUUUUAAAUUUGUUGCAGAUUUGAAAAAAAAUUUUUGGCACUUCGCUAAGCUCAAAUAACGCGAACCGAAACCCAGUGAAUAGUUUGUUGCUAAUUAGUUACGGUUAUUUUGAAUAUGUUACCCAAUUCUGAUUUUUUUUUACUGUAACUUAUUGUAAACGAAUUAUGCACUGGGUUUCGAUUCGUUUCCAAGCUUAUUUAAGAGUUGUGCUUUAUUACUUUCAUAUGAACUUAGCGAAACACUAGUAAAAAUGGAAUAUAGAUGAGUAAUAAAUUUACAACAUUGACAACUUAUUAGCACCCGAUUAGAAACAAAAAAUUCACUGGGUUUCGAUUUCUUUUCAUGCUUAUUUAAUCGUCGUGCUUCAUUAGUUUCAUAUGAACUUAGCGAAGGGCUCGUAAAAAUGAAAAUAAUUGAGCAAACAAUUUCGAAACAAUCGUAACUAAUUAGUAACUAAUUAGCAACAAAAUGUUCACUUAUUUGCGUUAUUGUUGACGUCGUUUAACAGAACCUAAUCGCCCAAGGAAUGGGAUUGAGGAUAGUUUUGAAUGAAAUGUUAAUGUAAGAAAAGCGUUUUGAACUACUUACAAAAUUAAAGCUCUAUUUUCGAAGACUUUACAGACAAUCGAUUCCUAGUAGUGUAGAGGUCAUGGCUCAGGGCCAAAUCGGAGCUCCAAACAUAUGCGGGGGGAUUACCAGUUUUGACAUUGAAUGUCGAGUUCAGUACAAACGAAACGGUGAUUUGUCCUUCGUAGAACUCACCCCUCGGUUUCUAAUAGAAUAGAACACGUCGUGCAAUUCAUUAUAAAUGUCAAUAAUUGAUUCAAUUUGCUCUCUCUCUGAUCUGAUCUGAUCCGGAAAACAUUCCAAUACUAGUUCACAAACCAAUCCACUGCAGUGUUGUGUUGCAAAGCACUGUGCACUGCCGAAGGGUGUUGACAGAAUCGCCGUUCUCAUCGCAGCAAUCGGUGGCGACCGUGCAGUUGCGUAUGGUAACGUCAAUUCCGUCCGUCAUCAUUCACUGGAAAGCAAUUUUUUAAUAACUGCUGCUGCUGUUUCCUUCGCGUAGCGACCGUCGGCGCCACUCCCUUGGCCCAUAGGCGGCGGCCCUAUCGCAAUAGAAGAAGAAAAAAAAACGUUCGUUGGUCGCUUAUUAGCUCGUUAUCAUUAUUUUCGCUGACCGUCAACUCACAUUAGCAGUACCGUGUGCGGGUUCCGACCGUCAUCAUCGCCACGAAUGAUCAUGUAUGAGGCUGUCGUCUAAUGGAUAAAAUUAACUUAACACAUGUAAUAUGUCAUUGGAAUUGGGAUUCCACCGGACCUUCCAGCCGGACGCCCAGUGCACAACGCAAAACUGCCCCCCACCCCCCUGAAGGGUGUUUGACUAGGCGAAUGAGAUUCAGUUUUUUUUUCCUUUUUUUCCUCUCCUCGCAACGACCCUGACGACGAGAGGAGGUUUGUUGGUUUGGUUUGGUUGGGGUGGGCAGUAGUUAGCAAGUGCGACACACGACGCUCGGUUCGGUUCUCGGCUGUGUGGGUUCCCGACAACCACCACCACCACACACUGCUGUGGCAACAAAUCUCUCUAAUUCACCCGCCGCGCUUCCCGCGUUGCAUCCGGGCGGUGAGGGCCUGCGGUCGGACGAAACGAAAAAAAGUGCAACUGCGCCGUGCUGAUAUAUAUAGCGAGAGAGAGAUAGAGAGAGAGAGAGGUGUGCAGCUUUUCAAUCCACUCUGUCAAGUACGCACGCGUACCAACCAACUAGCAAACUGCUGCUGCACUGCUGUUGCAUAAGCCGCGCUUGUUAGAUGCGAUUCAUAAAUUUUCUAGUGCUGCCGCGCACAGUGCAAUGUUGCCGUGCGUAGGUAGCCGCCCUGCACAGUUUGUUGUUUAGUCAUCCCAAUCCAGUCCAGUUGUUGGCUGCGAUGACUCGUGGCUGCGCUGCCAUUUUUUUUCUAUGAUGGUCCCGUCGUUGUUGGUAACCUUUAUCCGGUGGCCUACUUGGUGAUGAUGGUGGGUCACUGUGAGCAGAGUACUUGAUUCGGUUGCAUACACACACGACCACGCAACACGACACGAGAGCACCGAAGAAGCCGGAGCACCGGAAUCCACCGAGGAACCGCACUGAAGGCCACAAAAGCCGGUAACCACCACCACCACCGGGCGACGCUCCGGCGGCCACUGCCUUUGGGAUAAAUAGUGAAAGUAAUCUUCGCUGUCAUCCGUCCGUCCGUCAACGUCUUCGUCGUCGUCGUCGUCAACACAAAACAAGGAUGCAGUUUUCCUUCCAGUUUUCAGUUUUGGAGUGCGUGUCAGAAGUGCAUUUACAUAGGUUUUUUCCCAUUUAGCAGUAUUUGUAAAUGCACUAUCUGGUACGACAUUCCAGAAUCACCAAUCAUCCGGGAGCUGCUGAACCGACCAACAACCAACAACAACAACAACCUGAAAAAUAAAAUCUAAUCCAACAAAUUAAACGUUCGGUUUUCGUUUCAAUUCAAACCUUAGUGUUAGUCACCAAUCAUAUGCAAUUAAAUAAAUGCAAAACGAUCAUUUUGUGACAAACAA